rnacentral:pre_miRNA from 1 species
GGGACGACAUGAGAUCACACGAAAGGAAGCCCGCAGAAGGACAAAACCGUAAAUGUAAUCUGGUGGUAUAAUCCUCUGUGCUUCGUGUGUUCUCAGGUCGCCCCUG